CUCCGGCACCAAAUAGAACUGGCAGACAUAGACAUUCAGUACAAGAAGAAAAAGAUGGAAAAUCUUGCACUGGAGUCCGAAAUAAAAGAGAGGACAAUUAGGAAACUGGACCUUGAAAUAAAAAAACUUGAGAGGGAGCUCCAAGAAGAUGACACGGCUCAAAAUAAAAAUUAGCAAUCAGUACAACCAAGUCAUCGUUAUAAGGCACCGGCCUCUUUUGCCCCCCCCCCAAGCACGAGGUGUGGCCACUAGCCUAUAUGAAGGCCCAAAAUUGUGUGUUUCGUUCUGCUCUGACAAUGGCAUGCC